UACAGAGGUCUCAAGCGUUGUUCGGAUUCAUUGGGCGUAAAGGGUGCGUAGGCGGCGCGGUAAGUCGGGUGUGAAAUCUCGGGGCUUAACUCCGAAACUGCAUUCGAUACUACCGUGCUUGAGGACUGGAGAGGAGACUGGAAUUUACGGUGUAGCGGUGAAAUGCGUAGAUAUCUGGAGGAACACCGGUGGCGAAGGCGGCAUUCUGGACCGAAACUGACGCUGAUGCGCGAAAGCCAGGGGAGCAAAGCGGG
rnacentral:rRNA from 1 species